rnacentral:rRNA from 1 species
GACGAACGCUGGCGGCGUGCUUAACACAUGCAAGUCGAACGGAAAGGCCCUGCUUUUGUGGGGUGCUCGAGUGGCGAACGGGUGAGUAACACGUGAGUAACCUGCCCUUGACUUUGGGAUAACUUCAGGAAACUGGGGCUAAUACCGGAUAGGAGCUCCUGCUGCAUGGUGGGGGUUGGAAAGUUUCGGCGGUUGGGGAUGGACUCGCGGCUUAUCAGCUUGUUGGUGGGGUAGUGGCUUACCAAGGCUUUGACGGGUAGCCGGCCUGAGAGGGUGACCGGCCACAUUGGGACUGAGAUACGGCCCAGACUGCUACGGGAGGCAGCAGUGGGGAAUAUUGCACAAUGGGCGGAAGCCAGAUGCAGCAACGCCGCGUGCGGGAUGACGGCCUUCGGGUUGUAAACCGCUUUCGCCUGGGACGAAGCGUGAGGGACGGUAAUGGGUAAAGAAACACCGGCUAACUACGU